rnacentral:rRNA from 1 species
GAUGAACGCUGGCGGCGUGCCUAAUACAUGCAAGUCGAGCGAACGGACGAGAAGCUUGCUUCUCUGAUGUUAGCGGCGGACGUGUGAGUAACACGUGUAUAACCUACCUAUAAGACUGGGAUAACUUCGGGAAACCGUAUCUAAUACCGGAUAAUAUUUUGAACCGCAUGGUUCAAAAGUGAAAGACGGUCUUGCUGUCACUUAUAGAUGGAUCCGCGCUGCAUUAGCUAGUUGGUAAGGUAACGGCUUACCAAGGCAACGAUGCAUAGCCGACCUGAGAGGGUGAUCGGCCACACUGGAACUGAGACACGGUCCAGACGCCUACGGGAGGCAGCAGUAGGGAAUAUUCCGCAAUGGGCGAAAGCCUGACGGAGCAACGCCGCGUGAGUGAUGAAGGUCUUCGGAUCGUAAAACUCUGUUAUUAGGGAAGAACAUAUGUGUAAGUAACUGUGCACAUCGUGACGGUACCUAAUCAGAAAGCCACGGCUAACUACGUG